AUCUUUAUACAGUGGCAGUAUUGUAAUCAGUGAGGUUUAUCCAAGGUAUGAUUAUUGCUAAUUGAAAACUUUUCUGUCAGGCCUAGCCCAAGAACAACAACACAAUCCAGUCAAAGUUCAGGGUUUUUAAAAAAAAUUAUUUACACCAUAUUGACAGAAACAUG
rnacentral:snRNA from 1 species